GAUGAACGCUAGCUACAGGCUUAACACAUGCAAGUCGAGGGGCAGCAUGGUCUUAGCUUGCUAAGGCCGAUGGCGACCGGCGCACGGGUGAGUAACACGUAUCCAACCUACCGUCUACUCUUGGACAGCCUUCUGAAAGGAAGAUUAAUACAAGAUGGCAUCAUGAGUCCGCAUGUUCACAUGAUUAAAGGUAUUCCGGUAGACGAUGGGGAUGCGUUCCAUUAGAUAGUAGGCGGGGUAACGGCCCACCUAGUCUUCGAUGGAUAGGGGUUCUGAGAGGAAGGUCCCCCACAUUGGAACUGAGACACGGUCCAAACUCCUACGGGAGGCAGCAGUGAGGAAUAUUGGUCAAUGGGCGCAGGCCUGAACCAGCCAAGUAGCGUGAAGGAUGACUGCCCUAUGGGUUGUAAACUUCUUUUAUAAAGGAAUAAAGUCGGGUAUGUAUACCCGUUUGCAUGUACUUUAUGAAUAAGGAUCGGCUAACUCCGUG
rnacentral:rRNA from 1 species